GGUUGUCGACUUUUGUGAGGCAGCGGAGGCAGCGAAUAGGGCUGCUGCUAUGCGUGAAAUGGGAAGGUGGCGACACUGGGAAAUUGCGACGCCCUCAGCAGCAGUAGAGACUUCGUAUUCAUGGAGAUUUUUCCUUCUCCUUUUCUGUAUUUCUCUGCUUUUCUUAAGGUGGCGGUGGCUGUGGCGGCAGCAACAACAGCAGAAGUGACGGUCAGUGUGGGGUGCUUGUCGUUGGGGGAAGAUGCCGACUGUGGCUGUUCUAGGCAAACCAGAAGGACUAACAUCCUUGUUGCAGGAGGGCCGAAUGUCAGCCUCCACUCACCAAUCUUCAUUGCUAAUUGUGUAUUUUAUAUUUUGGUAGAUUGCUUAGUUUGUUACCUUGUCUAGUGCUAAGUAAUUCAAUGUUCUAUGCUGUAUUACUGCCUUACAUGAUAAAUGGGGUGAGGGCCCUUUAAGAGCAUCGGCUGACAAUUAAUGGAAAGGAGGAGUAAGGGAUUCAAACCAGCAUGAUGGCUAGAGGCACGGAACCAUCAACGAACCCUGCAUUCCAGGCAUUCCAAGCAGAAGGAGAUCAUCGGAAGGAGUUUACCACGUGGUCCAUGAGGGGAUUGGCAUUGGCCCAGAUCUGCCUGACCUUUGGGGGGAGGAGGGACUAAUGAGGGGGAAAGUGUAAGCCAUUUCUGUUUCAGUUCUAGCUUUUCUACGAUUGAAUUCAGAUAUAUUCAGUAAAAGUACUUUUCUUUAUUUUCAAAUGAAGUCAAGGUGUUUCUUUCCUGAAUAUUAAUCGGAGGCAGUCUGACAUCGCUGCUGCCACCCUGGAGGAGAAGAAUGUGAGAAAUGGGCUUUCUUGCAGCGCCUUCUCUGUCUCUUCUCCUGAGUAGCAGUGGUGCGUCCGGCUCACCGAAUCUGGCCUGCUGAUCUCAAGCGGCAGCAACAGUGGCUCUGACCCGAUCUUCGCCGACAAUGCUGUUGGCAAGCACUGGACACGCAGAUCCUGCUUCAUGGCUGUGCAAACAGUCCGCUAAGAGAAGGCGCGCGUGAGCUAGGGUUUGCAGGAGUGGCCUCCACAAGGACGUUCCAUGUGGAUGGCAGGUACGUGUGGGGUAUAUUCCCCCCCUUCACCCCAAGGCCUCGCCUCCUCACCUCGUGCUGUUUGCACGGGAAGCAACGAAAAAGCUGCCAUGAUUGCUGGAGGCAGCGGUCUGAGUGGCAGCUGAUCAAUGCUCUGGCACCAGUCCCCCUGCCCCCUGCCAUGGGCCAAGGUUUAGGGGCCUUCUGCACCUCAAAAAUAAUAAGACCCCCCGAUAAUAAGGCCAAGGCCAUAUUUUGGGGGGUCAAAAGAAAAUAAGACCCUGUUUUAUUUUUGGGGAAACAUGGUACAUAAUACUUAACCUAUCUAUUAUUGUAACAUUUCUCUUCUUAUUUAACUUUAUAAUACCUUGCUUUCAUAUUUAUUCUCUAACCAUUGAUAAAAUAAAUCCCAUAUAUUAUAGUAGCCAGAUUCUUUGUUUUCUUUAAUUGCAAGUGAUAAUCUGUUCAUUUCUGUACAUUGUAAUAUUUUCUUAAUCAUAUUUUCUUCUGUAGGGAUCUCUUCACCCUUCCAAUUCUGUACAAAUAUAAUUCUUGUUGAAUAUUACCUGAAUAAUCAAGUAUACAAUUUCUUUACCGUAAUUCCCUGGUAAAAUCGCCAACAGGAAUAUGCUGCCAGAUCAUCUUCUCCAACCACAUACAAAUUCUUCCCCUAGUAUUAUUUUGUUCUUACACACGUCUACCACAUAUAAUACCGUGUUUUCCAAAAAUAAGACCCUGUCUUAUAUUUUUGAACCCCAAAAUAAGGGCUUCGCCUUAUUGGGGGGAUCUUAUUAUUUUGGGGGGGCAGGAGGCAGUGAGCGUGGCCACCUCAUGGUUACUGCUAUGUUGUGCGUAGGUUCUGAAAUCUCAGAUAAUAAUCUGCUUGAUCCAUUUCUAAGGAGAUAAUUGUCUUCUCUUUGUUUCUGUCUGCCGCUGUCAGUAUAUAAUCAAGCUCUCCCACUCUUUUUUCUGUUAAUUUGGCUUUUUCUUCUACCUUUUGCAUUGUUUGCUCAUUUUUUUCCAUAAUCCCUUGAACAUUUUUAAUUCCCCUUCUACUUUCUCCAUUCUCAUUUAAUUUGCCUAUUCUUUCCUUCAACUCUUCAUGAAGAGCUUGUAUCAUAUUCCUUAAUUCUAAUUGCAUAGCAUUGGGGUUUUUUUGUUCUGCCAUAGAAUCUAAUGUUCUUUGACAAGCAGGACUAGAAGUUGCGGAGGAUGAUCCUGAGGACAAUGCUGAUGUUGUUUUCUUCAUCUUGUAAUGUCUUGAUCUUUGUAAUCCACUAGAUACAGCUUAUUGUAUUUCCAAGCCAAUUUAUAUCCAAGUAUAGGCCCGCCAAAAAACAAAAAAAGAGCAGCAAAAUGCAAGGAAAUGAAAAAAAAAAUAGAAAACAGGAGUAGUAACCUAAAUGACAAAAAAGAAAAAAGAGAAGCCAAAAAGUUUUGUAAUCCAGAUCUUAGAGGGUUUUUUUGCUUCUCUUCUUCAGGUUUUUCUUACCUUAAUCCAAAUUACUGUAUUUCUCAGAGUAUAAGACGCACCAGACUAUAAAACACACUUACCUUUUUUGGUGAGGAAAACAAGAAAAAGAAAUCUGCCUCUGCCUCCCAGCAAUUUUGCCUCAUUGCAGCAAACAGCAAAUAGCCUGCUUUACUUUCAUUUUUUUUUUCAGCAUAGCUUGAUUAGGACAAGAAAAUUUUUUUGCUCCCAGCAAUUUACCUCCUUGCAGCAAGCAGCAGAGGCCCACCCAGCAAUAGGCAAUAGCAAUCAUUGCAGCCUGAAAAAAGCUGAGAGUCUGGAGGCCGAUCAACUUGUGAUAAUUAGGCUGUGCUGAAAGUGAAAUGGGCUGAUUCUUCUUCCUGCAAGUAGUUAAAUUGCUGGGAGGCAGAGGGUGGGCGGGGCUAUAUUCGGCGUAUAAGACGCACCCAAAUUUUUGCCCCCUUUAAGGGGCAGAAAAGGUGCGUCUUAUACUCUGAAAAAUAUGGUACCUCAGAGAGAGGAAAAAUAAAAUUUAUAAUCCAAAUCAACCUCCCAGGCCCCAAAUUCCAGUUAUUCCGAAGGAAAAAUUCACAAUGUUACCACAUGGCAGCAAAAAAAUAUAAAUAGGAACAAUAGAGGAACAAAUAACAGCCAUUUUGAAAAAAAAAAAUUAUAAGCCUUAUUUCAAAGUGCCACUAAAAAAAAAGAAAGGAAGAAUUUCCUCUUGGCCUGUUCUGUUAUUUUGCCUUUUAAGUUCCAAGAGCUGUACUAUUCAGAUGAAAAACAACAAAGCUUCCAGUGCUCCACUCUCUGACAAUCCAAAUAACUUCUUAUCAAUUUAAUUCACAGGCUCACAAGGUCAUAUCUCAUCCUUGCUCUAACAGUUUCCAAUUUUCACUAUUACCUCUAGCAGGCACUGUUGCUCAGUUCAGUUCAAAGGGAAGACAAAAAAAGUGAAAAAAAGAGAAAAAAGUUUUUUCCCUUUAAAAAAAAGGAGUUCUUAUAGUCACUUUUAGCUUGGUUGUUAUUCCCCAAUUUGAAAAUUAAAAUAUUCACUCUAGUUUUCUGACUUCGCUCUUCAAACAGCUCUUUCUAAGCCAAUUCUUAGUUCUUUUGGCUCCUCCUGCCUUCCUCGCCACUGUUCUUCCGGAGGUGGAAGAAAAAGGCCAAUUCCAUCUCCUUCUUUUAAGCCCCCUCUCUUCUCCUCUGUUCUUUCAAGGGGGUUCUUUACAACAAUUUCAAAAAAAGUUUUAAAAGAAUACAGAUCUCACCCAAACCAAUCACACUUUCAUCCACCUCCGCGCUCUUGCUGUGACUGCCCCAGCUUCAUAGCGAUUCACAAUGGCCUUCUCAGUUGUUGGCUUAGGGAGCUUUUUCCGGAUCAAUCAGGGAAUUUGCAAAUUCCCUGAGAUCAUUGGAAUGUGCUCCCCUUGCUCACUGUCCCUACAAGACAGCUUUGGUCCCUAGAGACCACUUGGCAAUGGAGAUAGCGAUGGCUUCCUCAGGAGCCCCUCGGGAGCAUGUUGUCUUGCUGCGAUGCUAGCCAUGCCCUUUUUCAUCUGCUUGAAGAUUCUCAAUAGCACCUCCUGCCAGAGCUUCUUAAGGUAAUGUAAAGAAUCUAUGAAGGAUAUAUUGCACCUUUUGAUCUCGAUAUUACUUUUAUAGUGACUGAAACAGGAUAGAAUCUUUGUGUGUGUUUGUCUCCCACUCCAUUCUCUUAUUUAAAUGUUGGUAAUUUAAUUCUGUAUCCUUUAAAGCAGGGGUAGUCAAUCUUUUUAUACCUACCACCCACUUUUGUAUCUCUGUUAGUAGUAAAAUUUUCUAACCGCCCAUCGGUUUCACAGUAAUGGUGAUUUAUAAAGUGUAUCAUCGUCUGCGUAUGCCUCUCACACAUCGUGGAUUGAGUUGUGGGGGGUGGCACCGGCUACCAGCUCUGCUUGUCUGUUACAUUUGGGUGGUGUGGGGGGAGAUGCGCGAGCUAUUCCGGAACAAGGCUCUUUUGUUUGCAGUCGCACUAUAACGCCAUUUAAUUUCACUUACAUAACGUGAAUUAAACUUACGUGUGGGCGAUACAAAUAGCAUAUUUUUAGAAAUUUAAAUUGUCAUGAGGAAUUUUAUGAAAACCUAAUGAAAAUGUUUUUAAAUAAUGCUAUGAAAUUUUUUUUAAAAGUCAAUUAAAUUAAAAAAAAGGAAAGUGCUUCAGUAUUUGACAAAACCCCUACCGCCCACCAUGAAAGCUGGAACGCCCACUAGUGGGCAGUAGGGACCCGGUUGACUACCACUGCUUUAAAGGAAGGUUCUAUAUCCUGUCUGACUACUUAGGAUGGAAUAAUGUAAAAUACAUACUGGAACUGCAGUUGGGAUAUUUCUUUCAAGUCUUCCCACCCUGAUCUGCAUAGAGUUAGAAUAGUCUAAAACAGUGGUUCCCAACAUUUUUUUGGCCAUGCCCCACCUAAGCAUCACUAAAAUCCUUAUGCCCCCCUGUAACAUAUAAUUCUUGCUAUUCAAAAAAGUGAACUACUCACGCGGAAGAAGCCUAAAAUGCCAUUAACUUGGUUUAAAGAAGGUUCCAAAGAACAUGGCAUCCACGAAAGAGAAAAAUAAAAAAACGAAAGACAGUAGAAGUACAGAGGAACUUAAAUAAUAGUAUGAAGGGAUAUGAAAAAGCAGCAGGUAAAGUUUCAAAACAUAUAAUAGAGAACUGAAAUGCAUAAAUAUAAAUAUAAAAUAAUUUUAAUGAAAGCGUUUUCUGUAAUAUUUUGAUCGUAUUAAUUACUAUACAUAUUAAAAUAAAGUUACCUAACAAAUUCAAAAUACAAUUUGAGCUCACCUCAAAAUCAUACUUACAACGCAAUCCUAUACAUGUCUACUCAGAAGUAAGUACCAUUGGGGGACGUGGCCAGCGUCGAGGCGGUACGGCAUGGAUCCCUGAUGCUCUGGGAAAACACCGAUAUUCCAGUUGAUUAGGGGAUCCUUAAAGGAUCAUAGCUGGUAUGAACAGGGAAAUUGCAAGUUCCCUGGAGUGCCGGCAUUAGCCUCUGACCCAGCGGCAUGGGAAAACAGCCAUUAGGCACUGUCAAAAGCCGGGGUGGCCACACGAAAAACAUGAGCAGGAGCGGUAAUUGAAUGGAGUAUUGUUACUGGGUGAGUGAUUGCCCAACUCACAGGUAAGAAGGAAAUUGUCAGGCGUGCCUCCUUUCAAAACUCAAGAAAGAAAAACCCCAACUCCAUUAUUUGUAGAGAAAGAUAUCUUUUACUGAGAAUGAACUGAUUGCAAUGAAGUAAAGCAAGUUCUGAAUAAUCUUACACAUACAUGUUCCCACAUAAAUCCCUCCUCCCUCCAAAGGUCAGUCAGUUGUGUCCAAUCCACCUCUCCCUCAGGGGUCACGUGGGGGUCAUCUUCAGAUGAUUUAAUUUCUCUGGUGUGCACGAACUGUUGGCUACAAUGGUUAUCAGCCCGCUUCUUAGAUUUUGAAUUCAUAAGUUUCAUUUCUGCAUUAGCCCCCCGCCAUGGCAGCCGAAGCAGCUAGCCCAUAAUUAAAGAUACAUUACCCCUUUCCAAUGCCUAGCACUAAAGACAGCAAUAAAACAAUUAGCUGAGCUAUAAAACAAUAAAAGCAGCAUGCGGAGGCUGACAUUUGGCCCUCCUCCAGAAAGGACGUUAGUCCUAUUAAGAGAGAUUAGUCAAGGUUUAUCAGACUAUUUCUCAUAGAACAAUGCCGGUUUCUUUGGGGCCUGAACAUCCUCCUUAUUCACCCAUUCCGCUUGGGACAAAGAAGAAUGUUUCCACGCCACCAAGUAUUGUACUUUACCCCUUUACAAUGGGCUACAUUAUUAUGAAAUAGCCUAGAAUCUAGAAUCUCUUUAACUUCAAAAUGUUGUUCCCCUUCAAUGAGAAUUGGCACUGGAGGAGUAGUAGCUAUCGAUCUAAGAGGGGAUGUGUGUUCAGAUUUCAAUAAGCUAACAUGGAAUACAGGGUGAAUUCUUCGCAAGGGUUUUGGUAAUUGUAAUUGUACGGUGACUGGAUUUAUCACCCGCACAAUGGGGAAGGGACCAACUUAUCUAGGGCCAAGUUUUUUCGAUUUUUGAGUCAUUUGCAACUAUUUGGUAGAUAGAAAAACUUUAUCUCCCACUUGGAAAUUCUUGGCUGGAGUUCUUUUCCUAUCUGCCUGCUUCUUACACGAUCAAUGUGCUUCAUCUAAAGCCUUGCGAGUUAUCUUCCAGGUGCUUUGUACCUGUUCUAUCCAAUCAGCCAGUGAUGGAAUAGAUGGUUUCUCUUCAGGCAGUUCUGUGAUUGGAACAAAGUCUUGCUCAGAAGCAACCUUGAAAGGAGUGAAUCCAGUGCUGCUAUGUAUAGAAUUAUUAUAGGCCACCUCAGCAAAAGGUAGCAGGUCCGCCCUGUUAUCUUGUUGAUAAUUAAUGUAACACCUCAAAUAUUAUUCCAGAACUGAAUUGGAUCUCACAAGCCCCAUUAGUUUGAGGAUGGUGGGCGGAACUUAACCACUGGGCGGAGCCUAGU